CAGGCUUCUCUCUCUCUCGCCCUUUCUGUAUCGCUUCCAAUGGCAGUCAACGGAUCCAUUUCACUAACCCCAAAAUAACUCCAUCCCCCCACCCGACUCCCGCAGUCUUAUCGCAGUCUCCGCUGCUUCGUCCCCUCCAGCUGCUCGCCCUGAUCGGCGGACUCCGGGUUUGCUGCUUAGGGUUGUUAUGGGAAGGAUGGGAGGCAGUACGAAGACUUACUCCGCAAAUCCCGGCGAUUACAAGCUCCUGGAGGAGGUCGGGUAUGGCGCCAGCGCCACCGUGUACAGAGCGAUUUAUAUCCCUUUCAAUGAAGUUGUUGCCGUCAAGUGCUUGGAUCUCGAUCGCUGCAACAGCCAUCUGGAUGAUAUUCGUAGGGAGGCUCAAACAAUGUCUCUAAUAGAUCAUCCAAAUGUUAUAAGGGCAUACUGCUCAUUUGUGGUUGAUCACAAUUUAUGGGUCAUCAUGCCAUUUAUGGCAGAGGGUUCUUGUUUACACCUUAUGAAGAUUGCGUACCCUGAUGGGUUUGAGGAGCCUGCAAUUUGUUCAAUUCUUAAAGAAACUCUGAAGGCUCUAGAAUAUCUUCACCGGCAAGGGCAUAUUCAUCGAGAUGUCAAGGCUGGAAACAUACUGCUUGAUAGUAAUGGGGUGGUAAAGCUGGCUGAUUUUGGUGUUUCAGCCUGCAUGUUUGAUACGGGAGACCGCCAACGGUCUAGAAAUACCUUUGUUGGUACUCCCUGCUGGAUGGCACCAGAGGUUUUGCAGCCUGGAAGUGGAUAUAAUUCCAAAGCUGAUAUUUGGUCGUUUGGUAUUACGGCGCUGGAAUUAGCACAUGGUCAUGCACCCUUUUCUAAAUACCCCCCUAUGAAGGUUCUCCUGAUGACCAUACAAAAUGCACCUCCUGGACUUGAUUAUGAUCGAGACAAAAAGUUCUCAAAGCUUUUCAAAGAAAUGAUAGCCAUGUGCCUUGUGAAAGAUCAGGCGAAGAGGCCAACUGUUGAGAAGUUGUUAAAACACUCCUUUUUCAAGAAUGCGAAACCUCCAGAGCUUUCUGUGAAGAAAUUAUUUACCGACCUACCACCACUCUGGCAACGUGUGAAAGCCAUCCAGCUUAAGGAUGCUGCGCAGUUGGCCCUAAAGAAAAUGCCAUCUGCAGAGGAGGAAGCAUUAUCCCAGAGUGAGUACCAGAGGGGAGUCAGUGCCUGGAAUUUCGAUAUUGAGGAUCUAAAAGCCCAAGCAUUACUGCUAAGAGAUGAUGAUGAUAUUCAAGAGGGAAAGGAAGAAGAUGAGUCCAACAAGGCAUCUAUCAGCAAUAAGGAUGCAGAUCAAUCAAGCACAGGUGAUGAUGACAUACGUCCAGCUGAAAGCCAAGGCAAUAUAAGUGUAGAUGAAUUUCCUUCUUCUGGGAGCUCAAAUAGGAAAGGAAAAAUUCCAGAAAGUGAAAUGGUGGAGUUCAGUGGCCAAGAAAAACUUAGUCGGAAAAAGAAUGGUAUAAGCAAUGAUAUUGUGCCACCAGUACUAGAAAAAGACAGGCAACCCAAAUUUAAACCUCAAACAACAAGUCGUCGCCAAAGUCAGAGUGGCCCACUCACGCCAAAUGCUGUGCUCGGUCAUUCACCAUCUGAAAGGGGGGAGAUCGAAAAUAUGCCAACAAAUGAAAAACUAAAAUGUGACGCGCGGAGAGCACCAAGCUUUAGUGGUCCUUUGAUGCUUCCAAAUAGGGCUUCUGCAAAUAGUUUAUCUGCUCCUAUAAAAUCUUCUGGAGGAUUUAGAGAUUGCCUGGAUGAAAAGUCAAAAACCAACCUGGUUCAGAUCAAAGGGCGAUUUUCCGUAACAUCUGAAAAUUUAGAUCUUGUAAAGGAUAUCCCAUUAAAUUCAGUUCCACGGCAUUCCCAGGGAUCGCCUUUGAGAAAGUCCGCUAGUGUAGGGGAAUGGGUAUUCGAACCCAAGCAAAUGCCUGCGAACCCCCCUAUAAAGGAGUACAGCAAUGCCAGUUUGCCUUCAUCUGCUAUAAUGCCUCACCUUCAGAACCUUUUCCAGCAAACAUCACUUCAGCAGGAACUAAUUGCAACUCUGUUGAAUAACUUGCAAACGAAUGAUGCAGAUGGCAGUCAAAAUGGAAAAUUACCGCCUCUGCCUCGCACUUUAGAGAACAAUGGAAUUGCCGACUCAGCAGCUUCUCAGAGGGAGCGGUUACUGCUGAUCAAAGUCUCUGAACUUCAAGCAAGGAUGAUGAAUUUGACGUAUGAAUUGAAUGCAGAAAAAUUGAAAUACAUGCAGUUGCAACAACAGCUCAAUACACUAUCACGCCAGGAGGAAGACGGAGAACCAAGGGAAGGGGACGCUUGAAGAAGCUGAUUAUUUGUGUUGAGUGGAUCCUGAAAUUGGCAGCAAUAGCGGAUUCAUCCUGCAGGAAGCACUCCUCUCAACGUUAAAUUGUAGAAGGUCAUUGGCUGAUGAGUUUAGAAGACGAAGAAAAAUGGAAGCCGUAGUAUUCAGAUUGUCAAUAUCACUUCUGCAACUACUCGGUUCUCGACCUGCAGAUCGUGACGUAUUCCCUGUUCGGGUUUACUGAACAUCUAAGCAAAUCGCAAGAAUCAUUGCUGGUCGGGUCUUCUGGAUAACAUACGGGAUAAUCUGAGCUGUCUGUCUUUGAUCGAAAAAUGAAGGUUGAAGGCCGAGAAUAGCAACGACUUCUGCGUCCAAUGCCACCAUGGAGGCACAGAUCGAUAUGUGAUUUUCAAAUUAGUAAAUCACGGCAAUCCGUAUGGAUGCAUUUAUGGCUACAGACUAUUCGAAUUGCGUUUAGAUUAUAAACUAAUAAUAGAGAAAAUCAAACUCUGUGUGAGGGAAUACAAUUACUUUUGAUGUAAUUACACUUUAGACCUUUCUGAAGUAAGUCUUACACGAAAGAAAAACUUGCCAUAGGAA